GACUUCACACUGCAGUGAGUAAAGCUCCUCGGUGGCCGCAGCGUAAUGGAACAUUUCAGCUGCCGAGGAGGACGGAGAAGAGACAGCUCCCGCUCCUGGCAUGCUGCCGGCUAAGUGACAAAUUGUAUACGGUCAAGGAUCUCUGGCGGGAGCAGGCGGUAAAUUGGAUGUUAACCGAGAUGAUGGUUUAUACUCAUACCAUGUGCUUUUAAGCCCACAGAACUAUAUCUUUAGGUACUAGCAUUGUACUUUAUUUGGCUCUGUAUAUGAAAAUAAAAAAAUAAAUUGUCAUGUA